CACCCAGCACAGGAGGAUUGCCGCGGGUGGGGUGAGAAGAGGGGACCACAGGCAAACCUGCCCCACCUGGCCCAGUGUGAUGGCUCCAGGACCGGGUGCGGCGGCAGCUCCGGCUCUGCCCACGUGUCUAGGUCUCUACUAGCCACUCCCCAGGUUCUCUCUCCUGCACCCAAGGGUGCUCAUCUUCCCCUGCUGCCAAGUGACUUUGCAGCCCCUUCUCUCCCUUCUUUUACUUCAUUGCUAGAACGUUGGGUUGUGCCAGUUCCCUGGUUCUAACCUUGGGUUCUCUUACCCACGUUCUGCUUCUCCUCCUCGCCACUCUCCUCAAUUGAACAUUUCCUCCAGAAAUCCCAUCGUGGCUCUACAAGUUGUAAGAAGUUGAGCACAUUAGUGUCAUAACAGAAAGGCGGAAGUAUACCAUCUCUUGAAGCUGCAGGUAGAAUUUCAGGGCAGCGGGUGCGGUCAGGGAUGAGGUCACAAUGCUUCCUUCUGUUUGGAGGGCAGAGCAUUGGACGUGAUGAGCAGGGCCAGAAAGGAAGUUCAAUGUUCCUCACAUUGAGACAACUUGGGGGACCAGAGAGGUUUGUCCCACAUCAGGGGGAUCCCUCAAAGAGAGGUCUGCCUGGAAGGACUUGAACAUUAGUGAGGAACCCUGGGGAUGCUGGUGGGAGCCCAGAGCUCGGAAGAACUUCAUUCUCAGCAAAGAUUGUGCAGUGGGCAUCACCGGACAGCAUCUCACUCCUGCAGUGAUUAGUAUAAAUCAGGAAACCUACAUCGGCUUCAAAGAGUUCUUCCCACUUGCUCAGGACACCACCUAACACUGGCCCAGUUACUGGCCAUCGGGAAGGAAGGGAGAUGAGUGACUGUGGUGGCCUUUCCAGCCUGUCAUCACAGCUUCAGCCUUUGUAAAAUCAAUCACGGAGGUGGGUGCCGACGACGAUGGCCCUAACCUUCUUGGGAAAAAAAGGCACAGGACUUUUGCAGCUGAAGAAGAUAGAGUGUGUGUCUGUCACUAUGUAGAGAAGGAGUGGCAUGGAAGGGAAAACUGCAGAAGCAGUGCCAUGGACAACGCUUUUAUUAUAAAUUUGGCACCUUCAGAUUCAGAGCCUAUCAGCUUCCAGAGCUCCUCUCUCGCUCUCUCGCUCUCUCUCUCUCUCUCUCUCUCUCUCUCUCUCUCUCUCUCUCAACAUGAGUGGUCAGAUUUCCAUACACAUUUUUGAAUUGAAAUACAUGACUUAAAAGUCCCAAUCUCGGGACCCCUGGGUGACUCAGUCAGUUAAGCAUCCGACUGUAACUUACAGCUUGUAAGUUCAACCCCCACAUCUGGCUCUGUGCUAACAGUUCUGAGCCUGCUUCGAAUUCUGUGUCUCCCUCUUUUUCUCUACCCCUCCCCUGGUCAUGCUCUGUCUCUCUCUGUGUCAAAAAUAAAUAAUCAUUAAAGAAUUUUUUUUUAAGUCCCAAUCUCAAAAUUU
rnacentral:lncRNA from 1 species